CGUAUCUAACUUUAAGUGCACGCCACGUUCCAGUUUCUAGCUCUUCUUCUUCUUCUUCUUCAUCUCCAUCUUCUUCAAUUCUGAUCAUGAGGGUUUGUUUAUUAGGGUUUUGUGGAAAGAAAGAAAAGGCUGACAAGAUCCAUCACAUCAUAUGAAAGACAUGGCAAAAUACAAACGUACAAGUAAAUAUAUAGAGGUAGAAAGAAAUAUGCAAAGGGGAAAUCUGUAUGUGUUGACCGGAAUCCACACCUUCCUUACUCCUCUCUCUCUCUCUCUAUCACUCACUACUGCUGCUAUUUUUGCAGAUGGGUUGGUCGGAGUAGUACUUUUUUCAACACUUAUAACUAUUAACUCCCACCCCCCUCUCACCUUGCCGGGGAUAUAUAUGGAAGGAGAAGAGGAGAAGGACAUGGGAAUGGGGGAGGAGCAGAAGAAAAUACGUAGAGCGAGGAAGAGAGGGCGGCCGAGGAAGACUGUGGAGGAGGAGGAAGAAGAUAGGAUUGUGAAGAAGAAGAAGAAGAAUGAGGAGGAAGAGGAAGAAGUGGUGGUGGGAAAGGAACAUGAAGAUGGAGAUGGUGGAUCGACGACGGUUGAGAUUGAUGAAAAAGAAACCCAACUGGAACUCCGGCAGGAGAAGUCGAGGAGGAAAGGGAGAAGGAAGAGCAAACCAAGAAAAUGCACUUGAUCGGAGAUGACGACGAUGAUGGUCGGAGAUUAUGAUUGAUUAUGAUUAUGAUAAUGAUGAUGUUUUUAGUUGAUUAGAUGUAGUACGUGUUUUUUUUUUUACAGUUGAAUAGUUUAGUUUUUACUUCAAUCUACUUUUUAUUUUGUCUUUUGUUGUGUCUAUGAAAUGACUGCAUGAUUUGUUGAUUGUUUGAUGGGUUAAUUGCAUUAAAUGACUUGUG
rnacentral:lncRNA from 1 species